rnacentral:rRNA from 1 species
CCUACGGGCGGCUGCAGUGAGGAAUAUUGGUCAAUGGGCGAGAGCCUGAACCAGCCAAGUCGCGUGAAGGAUGACGGCCCUACGGGUUGUAAACUUCUUUUGUCAGGGAGCAAUUGAGUCCACGUGUGGGCUUAGCGAGAGUACCUGAAGAAAAAGCAUCGGCUAACUCCGUGCCAGCAGCCGCGGUAAUACGGAGGAUGCGAGCGUUAUCCGGAUUUAUGGGGUUUAAGGGGUGCGUAGGCGGAAUAUCAAGUCAGCGGUAAAAAUUCGGGGCUAAACCCCGUCGUGCCGUUGAAACUGAUGUUCUUGAGUGGGCGAGAGGUAUGCGGAAUGCGUGGUGUAGCGGUGAAAUGCAUAGAUAUCACGCAGAACUCCGAUUGCGAAGGCAGCAUACCGGAGCCCAACUGACGCUGAAGCACGAAAGCGUGGGUAUCGAACAGGAUUAGAUACCCGGGUAGUC